rnacentral:rRNA from 1 species
GACGAACGCUGGCGGCGUGCUUAACACAUGCAAGUCGAACGGAAAGGCCCUGCUUUUGUGGGGUGCUCGAGUGGCGAACGGGUGAGUAACACGUGAGUAACCUGCCCUUGACUUUGGGAUAACUUCAGGAAACUGGGGCUAAUACCGGAUAGGAGCUCCUGCUGCAUGGUGGGGGUUGGAAAGUUUCGGCGGUUGGGGAUGGACUCGCGGCUUAUCAGCUUGUUGGUGGGGUAGUGGCUUACCAAGGCUUUGACGGGUAGCCGGCCUGAGAGGGUGACCGGGCACAUUGGGACUGAGAUACGGCCCAGACUCCUACGGGAGGCAGCAGUGGGGAAUGUUGCACAAUGGGCGGAAGCCUGAUGCAGCAACGCCGCGUGCGGGAUGACGGCCUUCGGGUUGUAAACCGCUUUCGCCUGUGACGAAGCGUGAGUGACGGUAAUGGGUAAAGAAGCACCGGCUAACUACGUG